UCUUCGUGAACAUAGCAGACUGCUCAGUAACACGUGGAUAACCUGCCCUUAGGACUGGCAUAACCCCGGGAAACUGGGGAUAAGUCCGGAUAGAUCAUAAAUGCUGGAAUGCUUUAUGAUUGAAAGGUUUCGACCGCCUUAGGAUGGAUCUGCGGCCUAUCAGGUUGUAGUGGGUGUAAUGUACCUACUAGCCUACGACGGGUACGGGUUGUGGAAGCAAGAGCCCGGAGAUGGAUUCUGAGACAUGAAUCCAGGCCCUACGGGGCGCAGCAGGCGCGAAAACUUUACAAUGCGGGAAACCGUGAUAAGGGAACACUGAGUGCUAGCAUUUAUGUUAGCUGUCCACAUGUGUAAAUAGCAUGUGAUAGCAAGGGCUGGGCAAGACCGGUGCCAGCCGCCGCGGUAACACCGGCAGCCCGAGUGGUGAUCACUAUUAUUGGGUCUAAAGGGUCCGUAGCCGGUUUAAUCAGUCUUCUGGGAAAUCUAAUCGCUUAACUAUUAGGCUUCCAGGGGAUACUGUUAGACUUGGGACCGGGAGAGGUAAGAGGUACUGCAGGGGUAGGAGUGAAAUCUUGUAAUCCCUGUGAGACCACC
rnacentral:rRNA from 1 species